CAUUGACAAUUACCGGAAAUGUGGAUGGUGUACAAUGUACAUGCAGUACGACGUCAGGUGCAUCAGUAGUUCCUGACUUUUAGGUGAUAGCGGUUGGUCGAUCGUCAGCACUAACAAACAGCUCACUCGCCACAUCCAUUCCAGAAGGAACGAUGUUGCGUAGUGUGUUGGUGGUGAUGGCGCUGGUCGUGCUGGUGGCCUCCGUCUCAGGGGCUUUAAUCCCUCACGAAGUGUCCGUCAACAACCAAGUAGGCCUACGUAACAAACGCUCCAAGGAAGCUGCUCUCGUCCCGUCUUCCCCCCCGGUAUCUGAACAGAGAGCUAACAAGCAGACGCGCUCUGCAGAGACCGAUGACGACACCGAUAGCGACACCGAUGAAUACACUGAUGACGACACCGAUGACAACGAUUAGGUAAAACCCAAUAUGGAGAAGACAAUAAAGACGAGCGGAGAUGAAAUGAACUCGCUCAUUGUUUUGGACCAGCAAAUGACAUCUUCCUCCACCGUUUCUCAAAGCUGUUUCACGCAAAUAUGUUCAAUAAAUUUUUACAUGUAAUCUCGCACCUUACACAACUAUUGGCAAAUGUUAUUAUAUUGUAACAUCAGUGAUAUAAUUUUAUAGCACACUACUUUUGGAUACGAAUAAUCAUCAAAAUAUUGAACAUCAAAUAUCCUUGUUUUGUAUCAUUAAAGACUACUUGAGAGUA